rnacentral:lncRNA from 1 species
AAAGAGUGAAUGAAAAGCUAACCCAAAACGCAUGCCUUGAGAGAAAUCAUCAAGGAUUAAAGGAAUGCGAGAUUCCAAGGACCCAUUUCUUUCGUAUUUGUUUAGGAAAAAAAUUUAACGAGUUGAGAAAUGGAAGAGAAAUUUGAUGUUGAUCGAGUGUUUUAUCGCAUUAGUAAAAAUGGUUUAUGAAAUGGUUUGAAAUAAUAUGAGGUGCUUAUUAAAGAAAAAAAAUUUAGUGGAAUUUUGAAAAAUGUACUUGAUAUUGAUCAAAUACCUUUUAUCUUAGUAUUUUUGAAAGAUUAAUUUGAAAGGCCAUUUUGUCUUUUUGGAUUAACAAUUAUGCAUCAACUAAAAAUACAAUAAAAUAAACUAAAAAAAUAAAGCAAUAAAAAGGUAAAAGAAAUAAUAAAAGGGAGGUGGCACACUACCAAUGCAAGAGGUAAAAGAAUUAAAAAAACUAAAGGAAAUAAAAGAAAAAACUAAAAUAAAUAAAGCA